UAGGGAAUCUUCCGCAAUGGGCGAAAGCCUGACGGAGCAACGCCGCGUGAGUGAUGAAGGUCUUCGGAUCGUAAAACUCUGUUAUUAGGGAAGAACAAAUGUGUAAGUAACUAUGCACGUCUUGACGGUACCUAAUCAGAAAGCCACGGCUAACUACGUGCCAGCAGCCGCGGUAAUACGUAGGUGGCAAGCGUUAUCCGGAAUUAUUGGGCGUAAAGCGCGCGUAGGCGGUUUUUUAAGUCUGAUGUGAAAGCCCACGGCUCAACCGUGGAGGGUCAUUGGAAACUGGAAAACUUGAGUGCAGAAGAGGAAAGUGGAAUUCCAUGUGUAACGGUGAAAUGCGCAGAGAUAUGGAGGAACACCAGUGGCGAAGGCGACUUUCUGGACUGUAACUGACGCUGAUGUGCGAAAGCGUGGGAAUCAAACAGG
rnacentral:rRNA from 1 species